CAUUUUAGUUUGCUUGCAACUGAAGAUGGCGACCGGCGCACGGGUGAGUAACACGUAUCCCCUCUGCCGAUAACUCCGGAAUAGCCUUUCGAAAGAAAGAUUCUUACCGGAUAGUAUACGAAUAUCGCAUGAUAUUUUUAUUAAAGAAUUUCGGUUAUCGAUGGGGAUGCGUUCCAUUAGUUUGUUGGCGGGGUAACGGCCCACCAAGACUACGAUGGAUAGGGGUUCUGAGAGGAAGGUCCCCCACAUUGGAACUGAGACACGGUCCAAACUCCUACGGGAGGCAGCAGUGAGGAAUAUUGGUCAAUGGGCGAGAGCCUGAACCAGCCAAGUAGCGUGAAGGAUGAAGGCUCUAUGGGUCGUAAACUUCUUUUAUAUGGGAAUAAAGUUUUCCACGUGUGGAAUUUUGUAUGUACCAUAUGAAUAAGGAUCGGCUAACUCCGUGCCAGCAGCCGCGGUAAUACGGAGGAUCCGAGCGUUAUCCGGAUUUAUUGGGUUUAAAGGGAGCGUAGGUGGAUUGUUAAGUCAGUUGUGAAAGUUUGCGGCUCAACCGUAAAAUUGCAGUUGAAACUGGCAGUCUUGAGUACAGUAGAGGUGGGCGGAAUUCGUGGUGUAGCGGUGAAAUGCUUAGAUAUCACGAAGAACUCCGAUUG
rnacentral:rRNA from 1 species